rnacentral:lncRNA from 1 species
CCUCCUUUGAGGAAGAUGAUCACCCCGGCACAUAAGAGAGAUUUGAAGAAGUACUGCGGAUCUCAUCGUGAUUAUGGAUAUGACACCAAAGAAUGUAGGUAGCUUAGGGAGGAGAUUGAAGUGUUAAUCCGAUGUGGAUGCCUUCGUCAAUAUGUCGACGAACGUCAGAUUUCGAGAAACCCAUGCGACGAAUCUUCUCGAUAAGAAAACCCCCACAGAGACCAAC